rnacentral:rRNA from 1 species
UUGAACGCUGGCGGCAGGCCUAACCCAUGCAAGUCGAACGGUAACAGGAAGCAGCUUGCUGCUUCGCUGACGAGUGGCGGACGGGUGAGUAAUGUCUGGGAAGCUGCCUGAUGGAGGGGGAUAACUACUGGAAACGGUAGCUAAUACCGCAUAAUGUCGCAAGACCAAAGAGGGGGACCUUCGGGCCUCUUGCCAUCGGAUGUGCCCAGAUGGGAUUAGCUUGUUGGUGGGGUAACGGCUCACCAAGGCGACGAUCCCUAGCUGGUCUGAGAGGAUGACCAGCCACACUGGAACUGAGACACGGUCCAGACUCCUACGGGAGGCAGCAGUGGGGAAUAUUGCACAAUGGGCGCAAGCCUGAUGCAGCCAUGCCGCGUGUAUGAAGAAGGCCUUCGGGUUGUAAAGUACUUUCAGCGGGGAGGAAGGGAGUAAAGUUAAUACCUUUGCUCAUUGACGUUACCCGCAGAAGAAGCACCGGCUAACUCCGUG